GAUGAACGCUGGCGGCGUGCCUAAUACAUGCAAGUCGAGCGAAUGGAUUAAGAGCUUGCUCUUAUGAAGUUAGCGGCGGACGGGUGAGUAACACGUGGGUAACCUGCCCAUAAGACUGGGAUAACUCCGGGAAACCGGGGCUAAUACCGGAUAACAUUUUGAACCGCAUGGUUCGAAAUUGAAAGGCGGCUUCGUCUGUCACUUAUGGAUGGACCUGCGUGGCAUUAGCUAGUUGGUGAGGUAACGGCUCACCAAGGCAACGAUGCGUAGCCGACCUGGGAGGGUGAUCGGCCACACUGGGACUGAGACACGGCCCAGACUCCUACGGGAGGCAGCAGUAGGGAAUCUUCCGCAAUGGACGAAAGUCUGACGGAGCAAAGCCGCGUGAGUGAUGAAGGCUUUCGGGUCGUAAAACUCUGUUGUUAGGGAAGAACAAGUGCUAGUUGAAUAAGCUGGCACCUUGACGGUACCUAACCAGAAAGCCACGGCUAACUACGUGCCAGCCGCCGCAGUAA
rnacentral:rRNA from 1 species